rnacentral:rRNA from 1 species
GAUGAACGCUGGCGGCGCGCUUAACACAUGCAAGUCGAACGAUUAAAGCUCACUUCGGUGAGUGUAUAGAGUGGCGAACGGGUGAGUAACACGUGGGCAACCUGCCUUGUGCUUUGGGAUAACUCCUGGAAACAGGAGCUAAUACCGAAUACUCCAUCAAGAAGGCAUCUUUUUGGUGGGAAAGAUUUAUCGGCACAAGAUGGGCCCGCGGCCUAUUAGCUUGUUGGUGGGGUAAUGGCCUACCAAGGCAAUGAUAGGUAGCCGGGUUGAGAGACCGACCGGCCACAUUGGGACUGAGACACGGCCCAGACUCCUACGGGAGGCAGCAGUGGGGAAUAUUGCGCAAUGGGGGAAACCCUGACGCAGCGACGCCGCGUGCGGGUAGAAGGCCUUCGGGUUGUAAACCGCUUUCAGUUGGGAAGAAAUAGACGGUACCAACACAAGAAGCUCCGGCUAAAUACGUGCCAGCAGCCGCGGUAAUACGUAUGGAGCAAGCGUUAUCCGGAUUCAUUGGGCGUAAAGCGCGCGUAGGCGGCUUGUAAAGUCGAGUGUUAAAUCUGGGGGCUCAACCCUCAUCCGCACCCGAUACUUGCAGGCUUGAGUUUGGUAGGGGAGAUCGGAAUUCCUAGUGUAGCGGUGGAAUGCGCAGAUAUUAGGAGGAACACCGGUGGCGAAGGCGGAUCUCUGGGCCACAACUGACGCUGAGGCGCGAAAGCUGGGGGAGCAAACAGGAUUAGAUACCCUGGUAGUCCCAGCCGUAAACGAUGGAUGCUAGGUGUGGGGAGCAUAUGCUUUCCGUGCCGCAGCUAACGCAUUAAGCAUCCCGCCUGGGGAGUACG